rnacentral:rRNA from 1 species
UCCUACGGGGCGCAGCAGCCGGGAAUAUUGCGCAAUGGAGGAAACUCUGACGCAGUGACGCCGCGUAUAGGAAGAAGGUUUUCGGAUUGUAAACUAUUGUCGUGAGGGAAGAAGAUAACAGUACCUCAGGAGGAAGCUCCGGCUAACUAUGUGCCAGCAGCCGCGGUAAUACAUAGGGAGCGAGCGUUAUCCGGAAUUAUUGGGUGUAAAGGGUGCGUAGACGGGAAAUUAAGUUAGUUGUGAAAUCCCUUGGCUUAACUGAGGAACUGCAACUAAAACUGAUUUUCUUGAGUACUGGAGAGGAA